UACGUAGGCAGCAAACGUUGUUCGGAAUUACUGGGCGUAAAGAGUGUGUAGGCGGUUUCGUAAGUUUGGUGUGAAAUCUCCCGGCUUAACUGGGAGGGUGCGCCGAAAACUGCGAGGCUUGAGUACUGGAGAGGAGAGCGGAAUUCCUGGUGUAGCGGUGAAAUGCGUAGAUAUGCGGAGGAACACCGAUGGCGAAGGCAAUCCCCUGGGCCUGCACUGACGCUCAUGCACGAAAGCGUGGGGAGCAAACAGG
rnacentral:rRNA from 1 species